UACGAAGGGGCUAGCGUUGCUCGGAAUCACUGGGCGUAAAGGUGCGUAGGCGGGUCUUUAAGUCAGGGGUGAAAUCCUGGAGCUCAACUCCAGAACUGCCUUUGAUACUGAAGAUCUUGAGUUCGGGAGAGGUGAGUGGAACUGCGAGUGUAGAGGUGAAAUUCGUAGAUAUUCGCAAGAACACCAGUGGCGAAGGCGGCUCACUGGCCCGAUACUGACGCUGAGGCACGAAAGCGUGGGAG
rnacentral:rRNA from 1 species